CUCCGUUUCCCUGACUCAUGCUUGGGGCUGCGAGCACAUUCUUGGCUCCUAGACAGCAUCUCCAAGGAGAGCUGCCAGCGCUGGGGCGGCCCUGGCUUCUCACAGAGGCCCCGGCCUUUCUCAGCCACAGUCUUAUCCUGUGUAGAAAGAAAGCGGUGACACUUCCUUCCAAUUAACGUCCUGCAAGGAAAAGUGACCUAUGGGCUAGGGGGCCUGGCACAGGACCUGGUCACAGCAAAGAGCUUCACGAAUGUCAUUUCCCCGUCCCCUCCCUCCCGGCCCUGUCCCCAGCAUCUUCUGUAGACACGGUCAAAUCCCAGAUCUAACUACAACUCUGCCGGACGCCCUCAAACAGGCUGCUGAGCCUCCCGGGACCGCAGUUUCCUCCCGUUUAAAACGGAGACAUUCGGACUUCACCUGAAAGUAUUAACUACGGUAACAGGAAUGUGCAGGGCAUUUAACAGGACAGUUUUGGGCCGAGGAUUCUACAGGGUGAGGAGGGCCUGAAUCUUGCCAUGGGGGAUAAAGAGGAUGCCUGGCAGAACUGGGCCUGCCUGCUUGGCUGGGUUGGACGUGCUGUGUGACCUUGGGCAAGUUCCUGCCCCUCUCUGGGCCUCAGUUUUCCUCUCUGCACAGUGUGGAUGCAGCUGGACUCCGCGGGUUUUCUGUUUCCCGCGGUUUCUAGCUCUCUGGACCUAGAGGAUCUCCAGCUGAGCCUCUGUCGGGGGUGGGAGGCGGCAGCGGCGGGGGUUGGGCAGGAGGGGCUCGCUGGGAGCUGAGGCUGGAGGAGUCCUGAGGUGCUGGAGCGUUUCUUUGUGUUUUAGACUUUCCUCCCUCCACAAACAGUGCUUCUUCCAGAAAGUGCAGCCUGGAUGUGUGGGGGAAGGGCUGCUGUCAGCGGGGCCUGGGCUGGGCUCAGAGCUAAGAAUACUGUGGCAAAGGCUCUUAAAACUUUUUUUUUGCUGAUCUUGGGAAAUUUAAAGGAGCCGUUGCCUUUUUUCCUCAGGGAGGUGGCGGGGAGGCUGUGUUUGGGGUCCAGCAGACUCAGGCGGCCACUUGCCAUCACUCCCUCGCUGGCUCGCCUCUUCUGGGAAACCUCUGCCCAUCCCAAAUCUCCAAGGACAUGCAGUGACAACCCAGGGUGAUGACACAGAAGAGGCCUCGGACCCAGUCUGAGCUGGAGGAGCGGUCUGGUGAGGCGGCAGAGGGUCUCCAGGCCCGGCCCCCUCCCUGGGCCUCAGCUUCCCUGUGUGCAAAUGGAGGGCUCUGGAACUUUCGACCCUGACCUUCAAGGAUUCUGAGUGUAUCUACAGGUGAGCCUCAGUUUACCCUUCCCCCUAGGCGGUCACUGAGUCGUGACUCAGCAGAGACUCCAAACGCUCGGCUGAGGCCUCAGAGACUAAGCAACAGAAGAGUGUGCAAGGAAGGCGACCUCUGCGGGAUUUUGACACACGGACCUGCUGGGAGCCAAGGUGAACCUCUCCUUCAACCCACCGGCUUUGACGGACCUUUAGCUGACUGGCCAAUUACCACCUGAGGGCCCGGCUGGGGGGAGGCCUGGGACCUGGCACCUUCCUUGGGUAGCUCGGACGUCUCCUUAAAAGCGAUACACAAAUGAGGCAGGACAAGUACAUGAAAACCAGGAAACUGACCAAAGAGAUGCACCGCCCUGAGGCGGAAAGAUUUUGUCAACGAUCAGACCAGACAGAUCCUAAGUAAGGAUACUGGGCACCUCUGAGGGAGACCCUGAUUAGAAGAAUCUAAAGCUCUUGGGAUCUAAGAUUUCCCACAGUCCCUGAAAUCGGACUUCGAACGUCAGCAGCCUAAGACUGAGUAGUCAGUCACCUUCGCCACCAGGCUGGGGGGGCCAGAAAGGGCCAGCCAGCCCCUCAACUCCGCUGCCAGGGUCCCAGAUGAUUCAUCUGCUGGGUGCUGGGUUUCAUUUGCUUCCUCAGAUCCAGAGAUGCACCCGGAAGAAAGAAGAUCCUCAGCACAGUUUGUUGAUUGAAUAAAUGAGCAAAGUGCCUUUUUA